rnacentral:lncRNA from 1 species
UAUAGAGUUAUCGGUAAAUAAUUUUUGUAGUGUAAAAGCUAAAUAAAUUCAUACAUACUGUAAUACAGAUAACCAAAGUAUAAAAUUUAAUUUACAGUGACACGUGGGCCCACGAACCACCAAAAGUAUCAAAAGUGGUAAACCUACAGUUUUUGAGGAUGCAAGUCCAAUUGUAGCCCUCAACAAAGUGAGCUAUCUACCGACUAUUCUGAGCCUGAAAUGAGUGGAAAGGAGGGUGGUGAGAUUAUAUAAUCCUAGUGAGUAAACAAAUACCAUCUAAAAUAUCUAAAGCUGAGUAAAAGGAGACAAAUAAAAUAGAUUAGCAUAAAAAUAAUUCUUAGCAUUUCGAACUCAUUUUAAUAAGAUAAAAUAGAUUCAUUUCACCAGAAUAAACAACAAGGCUUAUGAUUUCCUGAAAAGUUUGGCUCGUGCCAAAAUCAUUCUCAAACCUAGUUAUCAGGGAUACCUUGGCCGAGGGCUAUCCCAACUGAGUCCGCCAAGGCUGUUAAAAAGUCAUGUACGCAUAAAUCAUGUUUUUAUUUUGAAAACAUAGUCGUUCCUUGACGUUGGCUGAGUUCACCCUCACGUGGUUGUUUGGUGUGAAGUGAACUCUAAAGUUUAAACCUCAGGAGUUAUCCAAGCACGCCACUCAUACUGAGGUAUGAAUAUAAUGGGGUUACCAUGCUCCUUUAAUACGCUAGUCCACGAAACCCGUCCAUUGCAGCGACCAAUUUAUAACCCACCAAUUCAAUAAAAUUCAACAGCAUGACAUGGCAAUUAUAUUAUUUUAUAGCCUCUCAAGGCAAAUCAAUAGUUCAUAAUUUUUCAGCACAUUUACCAAAUCCAGCCACUCAUGCCCACAUUAUCAUAAGCCAUUCAAUUCAAACCAUAAUUUACAACACAACAAUUAGUCUCCAAUUACUCCAUUUUCAAAACCAUCAUUCAAUUUCAAGACAAUUUUAUAAAAUCAUUUCAUUUAAUCAUAUUUUGCUUAUAAAACAUAAAGAUUUACCAUUUAAACUCAUUUUUCAUAAAAUCACAAAAACGAAUAAAAACUACUUUAGAUAAUUAAGACGAUAAUAAGGUUACUCACUAUUUCGGGAGUCGAAUUUCGAGUACUCCGAUUCUUGAUCCUCGAGUACUAUCUCUUUACUUUUGCCAGAAUGCUCACCACCUAGACAUAAUGCACAAUAAGCCAUUUACUACAUUUGUGCUAAACCGUUGUAAAACCAAUUCAGGCUUUAUACUAAUGCAUGAAAUGGGAUGUAAAAUACUCGGGUAACUAUCUAAAUACGGUGUUCAAUAUAAAUUCAAUUAUGUACCUAAAUAAAAUGGUAUUGGCCUAAUUCGAUCUAUCACCCGAUUAAUUGGCCAAUACGUCCAAUUCAACUCCAAAUAAUUCCAUUUUUCUUCCAAUUCUCCGAACCAUCAAACACAAAUUAAAUAACUUGAAAUAUGGCAAAAUCAUCCUCACAUUUUCUCUUGGAAAAUUCGGCCAUGGUGGGUGCAUCAACACUAUAAUUUUUCAAGCUUGAUUGUCACACCAUAAGUCACUAAUUGCUAACCAAAUCACUUGAAAUAAAAUCAAAAUCAUCAUCCACACUCUACAUGGAAAAUUCGGCCAAUGAUGGGUAAUGGGAGAACAUGAAUUUUUCUUGCUUGACUUUCAUGCUACACAUCACCAAUCAACUAAAAACACUAAAAUAGCUUAAAAUCUAACCAAAGCAACCAUCAAAAUCUCUCUCUAAGUGUUCGGCCAACAAGAGACCCAUCAUGAAAUCAUGUGAUUCAACCAUGGAAAAUAAGAAAAAAAUGCUUAAGAAAGAGAGAUCUCAAGCUUAAUUGAAAAAUCUUACAUUAUUUUCACUUGUUUCGUUGAAUUUUAACACUUUUCCCUUGAAUUUUUCCACCUAGGGUUUUGUUCUUCCUUUUCUUCCUUUGUUUUUGCUUUGGCC